rnacentral:rRNA from 1 species
CCUACGGGAGGCAGCAGUGGGGAAUUUUGGACAAUGGGCGCAAGCCUGAUCCAGCAAUGCCGCGUGCAGGAUGAAGGCCUUCGGGUUGUAAACUGCUUUUGUACGGAGCGAAACGGUCUGCCCUAAUACGGUGGGCUAAUGACGGUACCGUAAGAAUAAGCACCGGCUAACUACGUGCCAGCAGCCGCGGUAAUACGUAGGGUGCGAGCGUUAAUCGGAAUUACUGGGCGUAAAGCGUGCGCAGGCGGUGAUGUAAGACAGAUGUGAAAUCCCCGGGCUCAACCUGGGACCUGCAUUUGUGACUGCAUCGCUAGAGUACGGUAGAGGGGGAUGGAAUUCCGCGUGUAGCAGUGAAAUGCGUAGAUAUGCGGAGGAACACCGAUGGCGAAGGCAAUCCCCUGGACCUGUACUGACGCUCAUGCACGAACGACGGUGGGGAGGACGAACAAGGAGUUAGUAUACCGUACGGUAGUACCGACCGACCCGUAAACCGAACUAGUCAACUAGGUUGGUUGGGUUCGUUCUACU